rnacentral:lncRNA from 1 species
AUACAGUUUCAGCGUAAUGAAAUGUUCUUUGGGACAAGUGUUUGUCUUCAUUAGAAGAUGGACUGUCACUCUGACAUGAUCUAUUCCGAGUGGCAUUAAAUCACAGCACUCCUCCUCUUUCCUGCUCUGCUGAAGCAACCAGUGUGUGUUAAAAACACUUCAAAUGAAAUGACAGUAAUGCUACAGGCAACUUUGGGUCAAGUGCUUCUGUUGGUAAGAGUUUUUUGUUGAUGUGACCGUGGUUUAUAUCACUAACACUCGGCCAAUUAUUCUGCUCUCUGCCCUUUGAACUGAACAGGAAGAACAGAGGGAAUCGUUUCUGCUUUGGUCAUAUUUUGGUCCAUGUAAAGCUCGGUGGGAUGCUGCCUUUCUGUGUUACAGACUUUCUGCUCGGAAGCCCACUGCAUUUUCAGGAUCAGCAGAGAUGAGCGUGCCACAACUGCAGGGCUGAGGGCUAGUGCCUUUCUGAAGACAGCAUGAGAGUUCCAUGCACACCCACAGAUGCCUGAUCUCCCCGAAGCUGCUCCUUAUGCUCUCCAUCUUCCCAUGUGCUAUGGAGGCCUGAUGCUGCCAGGGACCACGCACUUUUUGGGGUGCUCAGCACUGAAAUGCCCAUGGUUGGUAUCCAGCAGGAUCUAGCCCUUGCUUUGCACAAAAAUCUCUCCGUUUGAAUGUUUCAUAAUGUAUGUUUAAAUAGUCACAGCUAGCAAAGAACUUUGAUGAGGCAAAGGGGUAAUUGGAUUUUCUUGUUCUAUAAUUAAAAA